GUGCUUGCUUUGGCAGCACAUAUACUAACAUUGGGAUGAUACAGAGAUUAGCAUGGCCCCUGCACAAGGAUGACACGCAAAUUCAUGAAGCACUCCAUAUUAAA